GGCAGUUCUUGGGUGAUGCACCCUGGAAGUGGGCUCCCUUCUCUCUGGUUCUGGGUGCGUCACCUGAGAACCACA
rfam:Myotis brandtii contig306402, whole genome shotgun sequence.